CGCCGUCGUUGGCUGCAGUCGGAGUCGGAACGCGAAGAAGAAGACGACGACUCGAGUUUCAUCGCUGCACAUUGUCGAGAGAGUCUCUGACAGUCAGUCGGUGUAUUAUAGUAUACAAUACAUAUAUAGACACAGAGGCCCCGCACAGUUUUUCUUCGGUCGCCGCGAGUUCGUCGCAGCUGCGAUUAUUAUCAUCGUAUCGCAGUGAGAGAGAGAGGCCAACGUGUGUCGUGUGGGUGCUGCUGCCUCUUCUUUUUUGUGCGUUCAAGUGUUUGUGUUGUUAUUGUUGUUGUUAUUUUAUGUAUACAAGUGUGUCACGCACGAAUAAAUGUUAAUUAAUUAAACCGAGAGAGGAUCGUGUGCGUCGUCGUUGCAGUUUCGCGUUGUGUGCUUCGUGUGCGUUUGUUGUAUACCGAAAAAAAGUCGCGCUGCGCGACUGUCUCUCUCUAUCUCUGCCUGUGCACAGCAUCCGAGAGAGAGAGAGAGAAAGGGUUGAAUAACAUCCGCAGAGCUCUCGACGACAGAAAAAAAAACCAGACGCUGAGGUAUUUUUUAUACACGUCAACGUCGGGGGGCGGCGGCGGCGUUGCAGGAGGGUGUGUGGGCACGCGAAUGAUCACAAGGAGCAGUGAUAUUAUGGAUCAAAGGCCGCGAUUAUGAGCGUCGUAUGCUUGAAAUCCGCGUCGGUCUGCGAAGAGAGCAUACCGAGGGUGAACGGGGCGGCUGCCGACGGUACCGAAGAUCAGCAGAGCGCCAGCAGCAGUGGCAACAGCAGCGCGUCGAGCUCGCUGUCGUCGACCUCGUCCUCGGAAGAGUCGUCCGCCUCCUUGGACACGGCACAGAAAACAACAACAAGCACAGGAGCUACUACGAUAGCGACUCCGACGGCAGCCAAAGACGUGUCCAACGACGAGCUGGCACUGUUGGCCAAGCUCGAGGAGGCCAAUCGGCUGAUCGAGUCGGACGCCAAGUCGCUCAACUCGCUGCAGAGCAAUCACAGCCGCAAGGGCUCGGACACGUCGCAGGUGUCGCUGGCCUCGGGCUGCAGCGUAACCACCACGACCAACAACAAUAAUGCGGCGGCAGCAACGUCGAACGGCAAUAAUGCUGUCAACAGCAGCAGCAACAACAACAACAACACAACGACGGGGCCCGCCGGUGGGGGCAGCGACGGCGAGGAGAACACGUGGUCCCUGUGGGGCAAGAUCAUCGCCGACUGGGACAAUCAGUGGAAGAAGAGGAAGGACUUCGUGAAGGAUCUCAUCAGGCAGGGCAUACCGCAUCAUUUCAGGAGCAUAGUAUGGCAGCUGCUGUGCGGCGCGCACGAGUCCGAGGCCAAGCGCAAGUUCGCCGACUACAUGAAGCGCACCUCGUGCUUCGAGCGCAUCAUCAGACGCGACAUCGCGCGCACCUACCCUGAGCACGACUUCUUCAAGGAGAAGGACGGCCUCGGCCAGGAGAGCCUGUUCAACGUCAUGAAGGCCUACAGCCUGUACGAUCUCGAGGUGGGCUACUGCCAGGGCUCGGGCUUCAUCGUUGGCCUGCUGCUCAUGCAGCAGAUGCCCGAGGAGGAGGCGUUCGCCGUACUCGUGGCCCUCAUGCAGGAUUACCGGCUCCGUGACAUGUUCAAGCCGAGCAUGGCCGAGCUCGGCGUGUGCAUGUAUCAGCUCGAGCAUCUGGUGUCGGACACGCACCCGGAGCUGUUCGCCCACUUCGCCGUGCAGGGCUUCCACACGUCGAUGUACGCGUCGAGCUGGUUCCUCACGCUCUUCACGACGGCGCUGAGUCUGCCGCUGGCCUGUCGCAUCUUCGACGUGUUCCUCUCCGAGGGCAUGGAGAUCAUAUUCAAGGUGGCCCUGGCCAUGCUGCAGCUCGGCAAAGACGAUCUCGUUAGUCUGGACAUGGAGGGCAUGCUCAAGUUCUUCCAGAAGGAGCUGCCGGGCCGCGCGGAAUCCGAUCCGAAUCGCCUGAUGAGCAUCGCCUACAGCAUGAAGAUCAAUCAGAAGCGAAUGAAAAAGCUCGAGAAAGAUUACACGGUGCUGAAGAUGAAAGAGCAGGAGGAGAUGGUGGAGCUGCGCAGAUUGCGGACGGAGAACAGAAUGCUGCGCCAGCGUACGGAGCUGCUCGAGGCCGAGUCCGCCGAACUAGCGGAAAAACUGGUGCGCGGCCAGGUGUCGCGCGCCGAGGAGGAGGAGAUAGCGUUCGUGGCGCAGCGCGAGCUCACGGCGCUGCGUCACGUGCACCUCGAGACGCUGCACGGCAAGGAGGAGCUGCUCCACCAGAAGGAGGAGCUGAUACAGUGCCUGCAGGACGAGCUCGUGCGCGUGCGACUGCACGAGGCCGAGAACGACGCGCAGAUCUACGAUCUGCGCGAGCGCAUCAGGGAGCUCGAGCAGGACAAGAAGCAGCUGAGGGAGUGCACGCCCGACAACUCGGUGGCCCAUCUGCAGGAGGAGCUGAUCGCGGUGAAGCUUAGGGAGGCCGAGGCCAAUCUGUCGCUCAAGGACGUGCGCCAGCGCGUGAGCGAGCUCAGCGCCAGCUGGCAGAAGCAUCUGCAGGAGCACAGGGCGGCGCACGCCGCGCAGCCCGCCGACUCGACCCCCAAGAAGCUGCUGUUCUGGGAGAGUCGUGGCCAGGAGGUGCAGAAGCUCGAGGAGGACCUGAUGACGACGCGCUUCCACGAGAUGGAGGCCCUGACGGAGGCCAAGGAGCUCAGGCUCAAGGUCAUGGAGCUGGAGACGCAGGUGCAGGUGUCGACGAAUCAGCUGCGCCGCCAGGACGAGCACGCCAAGGUACUUAGGGACGAGCUGGAGCAGGCGCUGGCCCGACAGAAGGAGCUCGAGACGCGGCUGCGCGAGCAGCAGGACAAGUACUGCGACCUCGAGAGCAAGAUGAAGGACGACACGAUGAUGGCGAGGAUCAGGGACGCCGAGCACGCGCAACAGGUCGCCGAGCUCAAGCAGCAGAUAUCGGUGCUCGAGCUCAAGAACGAGGAGAUGCACGCCGAGGGCGAGCUGCGCAACAACAUGGACGAGAGCGACCGGGUGCGCGAGCUGCAGGACAAGGUGGCGGAGCUCAAAGCCGAAACUCGUAAUUAUCAUAUCGUUCGUACGAAUUGGAUUCGUGCACGUGCAUAAAAAAACACGUUCGGGUGAGAAAAAAAUACACGUGUAGAAUUUGCUUUUAGUUAUUGCCAAGCGAUAUUGCGUCGAGCCGCACGGAGAAAAUAAAAAAAGAAAUCCGAAGUUCACAAGAACGUAUGAUAAACAGUGAUCGAUUCUUUUUGUAAGGUGUUGAGACUGGAGAGCCUGCGCGAGCACUGGGCCAAGCACGGCGACGUCAAGAGCAAGGACGCGGUGAGCCGCAGCUGCAGC